AGCAUCAUUGUUGAUUGGAUCUUUAAUAGAAAACACAAAUCUGUUUACAUUUACAAUCAUGAAUAGUUGUAUUAUGUUUAUGCUUUAAGACACAACGUCAAAAUCUACUGCUCUGCCUUCGACAUCCUCAAAGGUUUUUGCACCAACUUCCAAGUCACCUGCAACCUCUGCUGCAAAAGCUGAAUUAGGUCCAGGGCAGUUAGCAGCAAUCAUCAUUGGAACGGCUGGGCUGCUUCUGUUGGUGAUUCUAAUAUUUGCUUUCUUUAAAAGU